GAUGAACGCUAGCUACAGGCUUAACACAUGCAAGUCGAGGGGUAACGAGAGGGAAGCUUGCUUUCCUUGUCGACGACCGGCGCACGGGUGAGUAACGCGUAUCCAACCUGCCCCCAACUAGGGAAUAACCUUGCGAAAGUAAGACUAAUACCCUAUAAUUUCCUCAGAUGACAUCUGACGAGGAAUAAAGAUUUAUCGGUUGUGGAUGGGGAUGCGUCUGAUUAGCUUGUUGGCGGGGUAACGGCCCACCAAGGCAACGAUCAGUAGGGGUUCUGAGAGGAAGGUCCCCCACAUUGGAACUGAGACACGGUCCAAACUCCUACGGGAGGCAGCAGUGAGGAAUAUUGGUCAAUGGGUGGAAGCUUGAACCAGCCAAGUAGCGUGCAGGAUGACGGCCCUAUGGGUUGUAAACUGCUUUUAUACAGGAAUAAAGUUAGCCACGUGUGGUUAUUUGUAGGUACUGUAUGAAUAAGGACCGGCUAAUUCCGUGCCAGCCGCCGCAGUAA
rnacentral:rRNA from 1 species